rnacentral:tRNA from 1 species
GGAUAGCUCAAUGGUAGAGUGCUUGCUUAGCAUGCACGAGGUCCUGGGUUCAAUCCCCAGUACCUCCA